rnacentral:rRNA from 1 species
GAUGAACGCUGGCGGCGUGCCUAACACAUGGAAGCUAAUUAUUUUAGUGGCGGACGGGUGAGUAACGCGUGGGUAACCUGCCGUAUACAGGGGGAUAACACUUAGAAAUAGGUGCUAAUACCGCAUAAGCGCACAGCUUCGCAUGAAGCAGUGUGAAAAGCCUUGACGGUAUACGAUGGACCCGCGUCUGAUUAGCUAGUUGGUGGGGUAGAGGCCUACCAAGGCGACGAUCAGUAGCCGGCCUGAGAGGGUGACCGGCCACAUUGGGACUGAGACACGGCCCAGACUCCUACGGGAGGCAGCAGUGGGGGAUAUUGCACAAUGGGGGAAACCCUGAUGCAGCAACGCCGCGUGAGGGAAGAAGGUUUUCGGAUUGUAAACCUCUGUCCUUGGUGAAGAUAAUGACGGUAGCCAAGGAGGAAGCUCCGGCUAACUACGUG